CCAGUGACGCAUUUCGGCUCCAGCGGCGGAGGAGGCAGGCUGCGCAACGUGUCCUGCAAUCAACACUGUACACAUUAUUCAGAAAAAAAAUUAUCAUCCAUAGUGACUCAUAGGCAAUAGGAAUCGAAGAAGGAAUGGCGGAGAGCGAACGACGGCAUGCGAGUGAGAGGGAAAGACGGAGAAAGGGAGAAGAGAGAGAACACGUGGCGGGUGACGGUGCGGGGUGAAGCCAGCCGGACAGCCGGACACCCUGAGGGUUGCCAGAUGAACAUCUAUCACCUUUGUUAGAAACGGGUCCUCUUACCUGCCUUCCUGAUAGAUAAGUGUGGCUGACAUGUGGCAGGUGUUGCAAGGGUAGGAAAAUAUAUGCAACAUUUGCCCAUGUUGGGACAGGUAAAUCAGAAGAUCCUACUGUCAAUUUACAUUGGCGAGUUUCCUUAUAAUCUUACUCUUUACUUUAGCAUUCUUAAAAAUUGGAAAAAAAACAACAGUUAAGGUAGUUUGUAUGAAUAAAACGGUUUCUGUUGGUUGUUUCAUUUGUACGAAGGCUGUUGCAGCAGGUGUGUGAAUAAUCCCACGAGUCGGAGAAGGAAUGUUCUCGAUGUACCGUUUUCCCCCCAUGACGGGUGAGAGGAGGAUGCAUGUGAUGGCGUGGGCGAGCGUUCUCGAUGUUCCGUUUUCUUUCAUGCUGCGUGGAGGAGGGACUCGAAAGGAAAGGGGAUUGUUUGCUCUUUCAUGCAUUGCCGUGAGAGAUGAGCAGGUUGAUAUUGGAAAAGGGCAGUGACGACAUGAAGGGCAGUGAGGCUGUACCACAUUGGCCUAUUUGAAGGGCCGUGACGAUAUGAAGGGCAGCGAGGCUGUGCCAUAUUGGCCAGUAUGGAUUUAAGUGCUAUACAGGGGCAUUUGGUAUAGAUAAUUAUUGUUACUUUAUUAUGAUAGCCAUUCAUGAAAUCAUUGGCUUGAUUUUAACGGAAGAGGAAGAGUAAUACGGGAGAUUAAGAAGUAACCCAAUGGACUUGCAACAAAAUCUCGAUGGCUGAUCAGCCUUAAAUGGUUACGUUCGCAAAAAUUAUGCAAAAACCGCACUCAGGAUGAUUCGGAAAUUACUCUAUGCCGAAACUACAAGUAAUGGUGGUAUAUUCCUUAUUGUGACCACAAUUAGGUAUCUAAAAUAUCUAUAAAGAAUUGGAUAUCUAAAAAA